AGCUCUUACAUCAGUCUAUGUAAACGAAUCACCUGUUGCUGCUAUGGUUAGUGAAAUUUUUCGAAAAAAAGAACUAAACUUCUAUCUUUGUUUAGCAGCUGGUUGUUUUAUUUGUUACACGACAUGUGUAUUGAAUAGUGUCUAGUUUGGUAGAAAAGGAGAAUUAUUGUGUAAGUUGCUUGUGAAAAUAAUAAUUACGAAAUCAUGGGUUGUGCUUGUUUCAAAGAGAAAGUUGCGAUAAAUCCGGAAUAUUUCGUUUACAGAUGCUACAGAUGGCAGGGCUUGAAAUCUUUUUGUCUCUGUACAUUUGUUUGGUUGAUGAGGCGGGCAGUCAUUCUUUCUUAUCUUCCAUGACUAAAUUCUGGCAGCCUGCCAAUAAAAGAUGAAGGAGAAUCCAUACAAAUGAAGCUUGCAAGGAAUAUUUAUAAAAAUGAUCAUCUUUACCUGCAGUAUAAUUAGGAUUAAUUUGUAUCAUUGUUUCCUUAAUCAGUAUCAAAGAUUACUUGAUUUGGAACAAUAAAAUAAACAUUUUAAACAUAAGCAAUUUUGUAAACUAAGUAGUCUUUAAAAAAUUCUUCAGGGAAUUAGGCUGAAAAAAGUUCUAUUAACAUUGUACAACAUUCAAUGCAAAUGAAAUUUGUAAGGAAUAUUUAUAAAAACGAUCAUCUAUAUCUUCAAUGUAUAACAAAAUAUGUAUUUAUAUGUAUCAUUGUUUUCGUAAUUUGUAUCAAAGAUUGCUUGAUUUGGAACAACAAAAUAAAUGCUUAAAACGUAAAAAAUUUUGUACACUGAUUUUGUUUUGUAGCAGAAAAAAGUUCUAUUCAACAUUGUACAACAUCAAUAAGUGCAAUUUUAUAUUGAUCAAGAUUUAUCAGCUUAGCGAAGGGACUUAUAUAACUAACUUGUGUAAAUUAUCGAUUAUUCAAGAUUUUUACUAAAUAAAAAUUACCCAAAUCACUA